UGGGCAGGGGCUGAGCUCUUGGCUGUGCUUAGCUUCAGAUGUGGCCCGGCUGAGGCUGAUUCAGGGAGAAACACUGCCUCUCACUGAGUCAUGAGCCCGUCUUGGAACUUCGCAGAGUUCUGCUUCGGUAACUUUCCCAGUGUUCGUGGUUUACCGUCCCCAGCUGACAGCUGAGUCCAGUGCGGUGGGACAAGCGGUCCUACAGAGGGAGGGUGUAUGGAGUACUUGGGUUUUGAUGGAUGCUGGAGUUGAGUACAACUUAAUUUGCAGCAAAGAAUCCCCAGACCAAUAUGGAGCUAGAACUUUGUAGACGGAAAGAAAUUCAGACAAUGCCUUGGUGUAUUUGUUAAUUUGCUAAUCGGCAAAGCAAAGGGUCUUCUCCACUUGAUCUGUCUUCUACCAAGGAGAAGUGAGGACUGUGCAGAAUCCUACAUCAAGAAAAAGCAGUUCCAUGUUCCUGAGAUGGAAUGCAAAGGGGUCCUGUUGUUGACUCCAAAAGGAGGGCCAGGAUGCCAAUUACGCUGUUCAAGAGAUAUUUGAAGAAUAGCGGACAUGGCAGAGAGCACAGAUAAGGGAGCAUGAUAGAAGACCGCUUGUACUUGAGUAGGAAGCGGAUGGGGUACACACUUGGAGGAUGUCAAUGCUGGUUGACAGUCAACAGGAAGAUGGUCUCAUCUGUCAUUUGUUAGACAGGACACAAAUACAUACACAAAGCGUGGGAAGCUGAGAAUCAUUUCCCAGCUGUAAAGAGCAAGCAGCACGGGAAACAGGAGUCUGACAAAUCUCAAGGUCAAAGAAGAGGAAGGCAUUUCUGAAAGCCAGAGCGAGAGACUCAGCAGGUGUGCUGGGAGCUGCACACAAGGGACUUCUGACAGCACCAUCUUGCAACCUGAGACAAACUGCUCUAGAGGGUUAAACAUCUUGACUCACACAGGGGUUAGAACGGUGGAACGGCUCAGCUCUGGCCUUUGGGAUCUCCUCAUCUGGUGGUGAUACUCAAUGUUCUCCUGACAAGCUUCUGUGAUGGGCUUUCUUCUGAAUUUCCCUCUCAGCUAAAGGACAAGGAAAUAUGUAUGUGUAUAAUAACUGGCGUAUGUAAACACAUCUCUAAUUAUUUAUUCCUGUGUAUUUAUCUGCAUUAAUAUUAAACUAAACAUGAGUUCAUGCUGAUGUCUCAACUCUAAUCCAGUAAAUCCUAAAUGAAUCAUUCUAGACCUCUUCCCUUGCUGGUCUGUAAACUCCCACUCAAAGGGAAAGAAACCUAGUGCUCACCAUCUGCCAUCCAUUUACUUAAUUGCUCGGUUCUAGUGUGCACAUAUAGUGGUUUCAGAAUUGUUAGCCCUGAUCUCAUGGGAAUCAUCUUUACCAAUGAGAGCACAGAGCUGAUGGUCAGUGUUAGCUUCAGGUUUGACUCAUUUUUAACAUCAUUUAGUUUAGUGUUUUCACCCCCACACUCCUUGGGGAAGUAAUUUUGAGCAUUUCUAAUGCAGAUGGAUUCUUCUGUCCUGGUCUUCAGUCCAUCCUUGAACACCCAAAAGUGAGCUUUUAUAUGUAUGCACAUUAAAUUUCAGUCUGUGCUGAGACAUGCUAUGGGUGUUGAUAGAUGGAUAGUGCCAUGUAACUAUUGUCACAUGGUCAUGCAGAACAGUUCUUCUGCUUUAAAACACCCUACAGCUGCACUCACUCAACCACUGGCCUUCAAGACCAUGGUGACCAUUUAUCUAUUUGAUGUCUCUGUUUUGUUUUUGUUUUUUUCCCAUAAUGUCAUAAAACUAGUAUCAUUGAGUAUGCAGCUUUUUUUCCAAUGGGCUGAUUUUACUGAGAAAUUUGCAUUCUAGAGUCAUCCAUGUUUUUGCAUGGCUUGCGUUCUAUAUUCCAUCUUGUUUGCUUAAUAUAUUCCAUUGUUUGGAUGGGGCACAGUUUACCGAUAGCAUCUUGUUUGGGAAGAUAAAAAUGUAAUUGUUAUAUUUGCUUGCAUUUGGUUGUUUGUGCUGGUUUAUAUUUUCUGAUGGACUGAGCAGACACUUAGGCAUCCUAUGCUAAGACUCUGGCUUUAAUAGACCAUUGUCUUCCAACACGGCUGUACUACGUUUCAUUCCCAGCAGCAAUGGGCGAGUGAGCAUUCUUCCUGCUUAGCAUUCCUGCUGAUGUUCUUCAUUCUUGAAUUUCAGCUAUUCCAACAGGAGAGCAGCUGCAUCCCACUGUUGUUUUAAUCUGCAUUUCCCUAAUGACAAGCAACAUGGAACACCUUUUUAUUUAUGUUUAUUCUGUCCAUAUCAUUCCUGUGGGGUAUGUUCAGAUUUUUGCUUAUUUUCAAAUCAUUUUCACUGAACAGUUCUUUUAUCUAUUAUGUGAUUCAUAAUAAUAAUAAUAAUAAUAAUGAUAAUGAUAAUAAUAAUAAUUCAUAAUAAUAAUUCUUUUGCACUCUUUUAACUUCUGAGCUUUUUGCUCUCUUCAGUCUCUCUUGCAGCUUUUGAUCUGCACUUUGCUCCACUCAAGGACAUGUCAUUUACUUCUUUUUGUAGCAUUCUUUUUAAGAUUUAUUCUUUAAUCGUGCAUACCUAUCUGUGGAUAUGUACACAGGCAUGUCAGGUCCUCCUUCUGUGGUUAUGUGCACAGGCAUGUCAGGUCCUAUGAAGCAGGAGUUACAGGCAGUUAUGAACUGCCUGAUGUGAGUUCUGGGCACCAACUCAAGUCCUCUGAAAGACCAGCAAGCAAUCUUAGUUACUGAGCCAUCUCUCCAGCCUCCACAUCAUUCUUCUAUGCAUUACUGCUUGAGAACUAUUAAUUAUUCUAUGCUAUGAAUGAAUUAUAUGGGUAUUAUUCUUUGCCAAGCAUGGAGAUGGUUUCCAAAUUUCCCUUCCAUCCAAAACCAAAAUAGUGAUUGUGGUGAUACCUUUCUUGCACAAAUAAAGCCUGUCUGGGGGUCAGAGAAUGAAGCUUGUCACUAGAUAACCAUAGAGGUCUGGAGGUCUGUAAAGACAGACAGGAAGUGAGGUAGCUAGGCAGAAACAAU